UGGUUUGUUCCCUGAACAAGCCCUCUGGUAUGCAUGCAGAUGGUCAAUCUAAUCUAAAGAAAGAAAAGCAACAAAAAGGAAACCAUGUUUACCCAGGAGCGGAGGUAAUUAAUUAAGCAACCAGCUAGUUACUUACUACUAACCUCUGAAGCUUCUUCAGAUCCUAUCCCCUGCCCGGUCCGUCCGUCCGGCCGGCAGAGUUGGUGCGAGCUCGAUUGCUUGCUCCGGCCUGCUCAAGAAGAAGAAGAAGAAGAAGAAGAAGAAGAAGAUGAAGAGUCGAUUACUUCUGGGAGAGCUCGCUGAGAGGAGGAAGAGGGCGAGAAGGAAGGAAGGUUCAGAAGCGGAGAAAAGCAAGAGGAAGAGAAGAAACAGAGGUGGAAGAAAUCCCCAAGCUUUGCUUUU
rnacentral:rRNA from 1 species